UACGAAGGGGGCGAGCGUUGUUCGGAAUCACUGGGCGUAAAGGGCGCGUAGGCGGCCCUCUUUGUCGCGUGUGAAAGCCCCGGGCUCAACCUGGGAACGGCGCGCGAAACGGGGGGGCUGGAGUUCGGGAGAGGAGAGUGGAAUUCCCAGUGUAGAGGUGAAAUUCGUAGAUAUUGGGAAGAACACCGGUGGCGAAGGCGGCUCUCUGGACCGAGACUGACGCUGAGGCACGAAAGCUAGGGGAGCAAACAGG
rnacentral:rRNA from 1 species